GAUGAACGCUGGCGGCGUGCCUAAUACAUGCAAGUCGAGCGAACGGACGAGAAGCUUGCUUCUCUGAUGUUAGCGGCGGACGGGUGAGUAACACGUGGAUAACCUACCUAUAAGACUGGGAUAACUUCGGGAAACCGGAGCUAAUACCGGAUAAUAUUUUGAACCGCAUGGUUCAAAAGUGAAAGACGGUCUUGCUGUCACUUAUAGAUGGAUCCGCGCUGCAUUAGCUAGUUGGUAAGGUAACGGCUUACCAAGGCAACGAUGCAUAGCCGACCUGAGAGGGGGGUCGGCCACCCGGGAAGUGAGACACGGUCCGGACUCCAACGGGAGGCAGCAGUAGGGAAUGUUCCGCAAUGGGCGAAAGCCGGACGGAGAAACGCAGCGUGGGUGAUGAAGGUCUUCGGAACGUAAAACUCUGUUAUUAGGGAAGAACAUAUGUGUAAGGAACUGUGCCCAUCUUGACGGUACCUAAUCAGAAAGCCACGGCUAACUACGUG
rnacentral:rRNA from 1 species